ACUCAAAGGAAGCGAUGUUGGGCGGUUUGUUACAAGGGAAAUCUGCUCCUAGCCAGUUCUUUUGGACUAUUAAAUUCAAUCUGGAGAAUCACUGUAAGCAAUGUUGCACAGACAACAUGAACUUGUACCUCCAUCAGUUUUCCCUGCAGCCUUUUAACACUCCCUCAGGAUAAGCUGCAGAGGGUUGUGUGCCACAGGGCUCUGAGUCACUGCUCAGUAACAGAUACAGGUGCAGGAAGGACCAUGGAGGCAUUUGGGGCUGCAGGGCUGUGACAGGAGCAAAAGUUCAGGGAUCAGCUCUGUCAUGUGCUGGAGGGUGGAGGAGUUUCUAGGAGAUGGGCACGGUGCCACAGGCUUACAGCGGGUUGGGAUGUGGCGACCAGGACUUUGUAACUCUGUCAGAGGAAAGGCAAACACCUGGCAGGGGGUGGCUGACACUGACUGCAAGGGAAUGCACUUACAGAGCUGUGCUGUGCACGAGAUGAGACACAAGAGCAGCUCUUAAUGUCUGCAUUUUUUAUUUUUCCAUAGGUGAACGAACACCCUGGGCUUAUCCAGACUAAGCCAUCUUUCAAAGACUCAGCACCUUCACUGCAUUUUCUGUGGCACUCGAGCGGUAUCAACUGAUAUAGACAAAGGUGACAGCACAUGACAUCAAGCCCUUGGUGUCCCCAGGUACCUACAUUGUCCUGCUGAUGUUGAAAGGAUCUCCAGUUCAAUCUGCUUUUUUUCAUCAUUCCAACUGAUUAUUUUUGCCUCCUUCACAAAGCAACAAGAAAAGAAUCAGGUUCUUUGUACAGUUCAAGCUGCCAGAGGAAGGUGACCCCUGCCUGUGUCAGCACUCACCUGGACAAGGACAGAAGUGUUUGUCGCAGCUUCAUUUAACUGCCUCUGUUUGUGGCCUUCACUGCUG